UACGUAGGGUGCAAGAGUUGUCCGGAAUUAUUGGGCGUAAAGAGCUCGUAGGCGGUUUGUCGCGUCUGCUGUGAAAACCCGAGGCUCAACCUCGGGCCUGCCGUGGGUACGGGCAGACUAGAGUGCGGUAGGGGAGAUUGGAAUUCCUGGUGUAGCGGUGGAAUGCGCAGAUAUCAGGAGGAACACCAAUGGCGAAGGCAGGUCUCUGGGCCACUACUGACGCUGAGAAGCGAAAGCAUAGGGAGCGAACAGG
rnacentral:rRNA from 1 species